UACAGAGACUGCAAGCGUUAUUCGGAUUCACUGGGCGUAAAGGGUGCGCAGGCGGCCGUGUGUGUGAGGCGUGAAAGCCUGGAGCUUAACUCCAGAAUUGCACCUCAAACUACACGGCUAGAGCAUUGGAGAGGGUAGCAGAAUUCACGGUGUAGCAGUGAAAUGCGUAGAUAUCGGGAAGAACAUCAGUGGCGAAAGCGACUUCCUGGACCAAUACUGACGCUCAUGUGCGAAAGCGUGGGGAGCAAACAGG
rnacentral:rRNA from 1 species